AUUGAACGCUGGCGGCAUGCCUCACACAUGCAAGCCGAACGGUAACAGGUCUUCGGAUGCUGACGAGUGGCGAACGGGUGAGUAAUACAUCGGAACGUGCCCGAGAGUGGGGGAUAACGAGGCGAAAGCUUUGCUAAUACCGCAUACGAUCUCAGGAUGAAAGCAGGGGACCGCAAGGCCUUGCGCUCACGGAGCGGCCGAUGGCAGAUUAGGUAGUUGGUGGGAUAAAAGCUUACCAAGCCGGCGAUCUGUAGCUGGUCUGGGAGGACGACCAGCCACACUGGGACUGAGACACGGCCCAGACUCCUACGGGAGGCAGCAGUGGGGAAUUUUGGACAAUGGGCGCAAGCCUGAUCCAGCCAUGCCGCGUGCAGGAUGAAGGCCUUCGGGUUGUAAACUGCUUUUGUACGGAACGAAAAGACUCUGGUUAAUACCUGGGGUCCAUGACGGUACCGUAAGAAUAAGCACCGGCUAACUACGUGCCAGCCGCCGCCGUAAAAC
rnacentral:rRNA from 1 species